rnacentral:tRNA from 1 species
UCCUUGGUGGCCUAGUGGUUAAGACUCUGCAUUCCUAAUCCAGGGCACUCGGGUUUGACCCCUGGUCAGGGAA